UUGUCAGGAAAAGUCAUCCAGGAUAUAACAGAGAGCAUCUCCGUUGUUUGAGAAACAGUUCAAGAUGAAGUUGACACUACUCUUGUUCUUCGCAGUCCUUAUGACUGUUGCGGCUGUCUGUUGUGCCGAGGAAGAUGCAGAGGUUGAGGCUAUCAUUGACAUUGAUGAGGAAAUGGAAUUGGCCGCAAUCCAGUCAGUGCUGUCCAGACACAGGCGAUUCUUGGGUGGCGGUGGUA